CUCCGCGCCGUCGCCGGAAGUUGGGUCUGGUGGUGGAGGCGCGAGCGGCGAAGCGAAGCGGCGGGGCGAUGGCCGGCUGUGGGCCAUGACCCGGCUUCUGGGCGCGGCGCGCAGGGUUGCUUUGGCCGCGGUGCGCGGUAGCUCCGGCGGCCGCAGCGGCCUCAGCAUGUUUUAUGCCGUGAGGAGGGGCCGCAAGGCCGGGGUCUUCCAGACCUGGAGCGAGUGCAGGGCGCAGGUGGACCGCUUCCCGGCCGCGCGCUUUAAGAAGUUUGCCACGGAGGAGGAGGCCUGGGCCUUCGUCGGGCGGCCCGCCGGCCCGGGCGGCGCGGAAGGGACAGAAGAUAAGCAUGAACAAGAAUCACAAGUGAAAGCCAACAAGCGACUCCGUGAGCCCUCGGAUGGAGAUGAAAACGCAGAGCCCUGUGCAAAGCAGGCAAGACAGACCACGGGAUCCGUGCCUUUGGUUGACAAAAGCACAUUUUCUUACAUGGGAGAAUUUGUUGUCGUCUACACUGAUGGCUGCUGCUCCAGUAACGGGCGGAGGAGGGCACGAGCAGGCAUCGGUGUUUACUGGGGGCCCGGCCAUCCUUUGAACAUAGGCAUUAGGCUUCCUGGACGGCAGACCAACCAAAGAGCAGAAAUUCAUGCAGCCUGCAAAGCCAUCGAGCAGGCAAAGGCUCAAAACAUCAAGAAGCUGGUUCUGUAUACGGACAGUAUGUUUACUAUAAAUGGCAUCACUAACUGGGUUCAAGGCUGGAAGAAGAACGGGUGGAAGACAAGCACGGGGAAGGAGGUGAUCAACAGGGAGGACUUCGUGGCGCUGGAGCAGCUCGCCCAGGGCAUGGACAUCCAGUGGAUGCAUGUUCCUGGUCAUUCGGGAUUUGUAGGCAAUGAAGAGGCGGACAGAUUAGCACGAGAAGGAGCAAAGCGAUCUGAGGACUGAGCAAGGUCGUCAUUCUUGGACAACUUGACUUUAUGGAGGUGCGCUCGACGGACAGCAGAUGGCACGUGUGUAAAGCGGACCUGGGAUUCCGCGGUGAAGCCCCCGCAGGAGCUGCCUGUCCCCUCCCAGGUUCUUUCACACCGCCUUGAAAUCCUUCUGUCCCGGACCCCAUCCUCGGGCGACCACCAGUCUGCCUCCAGUCUCUGUAGAUAAUUUGUAUUUUCUAAGCUUUGUCGGCAGCUGGAGGGAGCUGAGUGACCGCAGUGUACGACGUAGUCCUCCGUCGUGGAAUGCAGAAGCUUCUGAGCCGCUCCGCUCUCAGAGUGGGAGCUUGACGCUUGCCAGAUGGAGGCUGUUCACAUGUUAUUUGUAGCAUCUGCGCCAGCACGAUGAGUAGGUAUGCACAGGAGGAGGGGGCAGAGGUGGAGGAGGGAGAGAAUCUUAAGCCGGCCCCACACUGAACGCAGAGCCCAACGGGGAGCUCAGUCUCCCGACCCUGAGAUCAUGACCUGAGCCAAAAUCAAGAGUUGGAUGCUUUCCCGACCGAGCCACAGGCACCCCUUGAACUAAAAAAACUUUAAAAAGACCUAAGCAUGGACAAAUUCUGAAAAAAAAAAAUGGAACUGCUGUGACAGGAGGCUCAUUUCUCUGAUACCUAAAGUAGAAAGUGAGAAAAUGCCUAAUAAUAGAAUGGCCGGUCAUAAAGCACUCGCACCCUCGAGCAAGGAAAGACUGCAGACUGACUGCACCGAGACCUCCCUGUAGCCUAUCAGUACCUUGUAAUACAGGAUUUAUUCGCAAAACCAGCAGUCCGGGAGGCUGCUGGAAACCACGCACUUCCAUGCCGGCGUGGGCAGCACAAAAUGAAGUUCGCUGCCUGCUGAGAGGAGCGCGGGUAGCUUUGACCCAGCCUUCGCUGCUGUUCGGAACUUGCCGUGCAGGUCCGCCUGCGGGCAUCCAGGCGAAGACGGGAUUCGCAGUCCCUGAGCAGGAAAGCAUACGGGGGCAGCCGCCGUGGCCUCGGGCGGUGCGCGGAGGGCUUGGUGCAUCGGUGCCAGAGCGGAGGGCACCCUGCGGAGGCCAGGGUGGGCGGGAGCAGGUGCACGGAGGAGGCCUCUCCGCGUGUGAGCCCCUGCCUGUCCUCCGCGUGUGAGCCCCUGCCUGUGCUCCGCGUGUGAGCCCCUGCCUGUCCUCUUGAUUUUGAGUCAUGUCGGAAUAAAUGCUCAAAUACAGGAGCGAUUUUAUUUUAUUUAUUUUUUUUUUAAGAUUUUAUUUAUUUAUUUGACAGAGAAAAAUCACAAGUAGAUGGAGAGGCAGGCAGAGAGAGAGAGAGGGAAGCAGGCUCCCUGCCGAGCAGAGAGCCCGAUGCGGGACUCGAUCCCAGGACCCUGAGAUCAUGACCUGAGCCGAAGGCAGCGGCUUAACCCACUGAGCCACCCAGGCGCCCAGGAGCGAUUUUAGAGCUGUGUUUUCCUGGAAGACGGAGGGGACGGCGCGCCCACCCGCAGGACCACCGCGGGCGGAAAGCCUGGAGCAGUGGGGCAGGGCUCGCUGUGGUUUUGACAUCCAGCCUCUGCCUUCACAUCCGCAUCCUCGGGUCCCACAGGCUCCUCGGGCCCCCGCAUCCUUGGUACUUGGGGACCCAGAACAGGCACAGUGCCUCUUGUGGGUACACAACGUGCUUUAACGUCACACUUGAAGACCCAGAGGCCAGCACCUGAGUCCGAGCUGUGACGGGCUGAAUGACUGUGGCCCCGAGUUCCCGUGUUGACGCCCUACCCACGGCGCGGCUGUGUUUGGAGAUGGGGGCCUCUAGGAAGUAAUUAAGUCAAAUGAGCUCACUCCCUCCCUGCUCUUGCCGCCGACAACAGGAGAGGCCACGUGAGGACAGAGUGAAGCCAGAAACCCAGUCAGCUGACCCCUCCAUCUUGGUCUUCUGGCCUCUGGAUUGAGAGAAAUCUAUGAGCCCCUGCCCCCUGCAUGGGUGGCGCUGUGAAUGGCUCCGAGCUGGGGCCCCAGUGAAGGAUGCCUGGUGUAGCCCAGUCUCCUCUUUUUGGGGGAGGAAAUGAAGUUGGGGUCUGGUCCUCUGCCCCUUGGGUGCUGGCUGUCCUCGCCGCUCGCCACGCAGGCAGCACGACCCCGCCACGGAGGCCGUGUGUGUGAUUCUUCCGAGACUCCGCUCUGUGACUGUGUCAGUGAGACAACUUUGCUUUGUUAGGUGACAGGUUUUCCUGAAUGGAAUUGAGUGCAUGGCAUCCCCAUUGUUUUGCUGAAGCGCAGAAGAACAAAAAUGAAAAUAAAGAUGCAGAAUGAUAGAGAAAUGAGAUUAUUACUCCUA